rnacentral:rRNA from 1 species
GGAUGCGAUCAUACCAGCACUAAAGCACCGGAUCCCAUCAGAACUCCGAAGUUAAGCGUGCUUGGGCGAGAGUAGUACUAGGAUGGGUGACCUCCUGGGAAGUCCUCGUAUUGUAUUCC